UGAGCACUAUCCCUUUAUUUCAUUUUUUUGUUUAUUUAUUUAUUUUGUUAUUUUUCUUCACUUUUGUUAAAAAAUUAGGGUUAAGUGUGGGUGGAUUGAGCUUUAGGCCCAUGUUUUUUUACACCCUCGCAUUCAUGUUUUCCACCCUUGUGUUUGUUUAUUUUAUUUCUUUUUGUUAUUUGAUUAAUAAAUUAGUAGUUAACUAGUUGUUUAGAUUUGAAAUGAUUAGUUGAUUGUUAUAUUUAAUUAAUUAUUUUCUUUUUGAUAAUGAGAUUUAUUUGAUUAGUCGAUUUAAUUAGGUGAUUUCUACUUAUGUUCAUACCCUCAUAUCUAAAUAAUUAUACUCGAUAAUUCACUAAUAUUCCAUUCAUUUUUCAAACCAUUCUUCGAAACCAUUUCACAAAUCAAAUUAUU
rnacentral:lncRNA from 1 species